GGCAGUGCUGGAGUCCCUCAAGAGUGCUCAGGAGAGGUUGUUGUUGUUGGUAAAGUGAAAUCCAGUUUCGGCAGAAGCCCCCAGCAUUUUGGAAAUGCCAGUACUAAGGGAUGACCACCCAGGACACCAUCAGAAGUGGAGUAGAGCAGUCUGAGCCUAGGGGACAGUCUUUGUGUGUUGCAGAGGAUAGAGCCGAAGAAUUGACAUAGCCUUCGGAGGAGCCCAUAGAGGGAAGAAGCCUGAUUUCUCUUUAGACAUCCAGUUUGGACUAACGAGGCAGACCACAGGUUUGAGUGUGUUGAACUUCCUGAAGACGCAGUGUACUAUUAGACAACGAGCAAUCGCAGACAGGAAGAGAACGUUAGCAGACGCCCGAGCAAACAGCAUUGUGGAGGCAAGGACUUCACUAAGAUCCUCCGAAGAAACAAGU